UACGUAUGGUGCAAGCGUUAUCCGGAUUUACUGGGUGUAAAGGGAGCGCAGGCAGUGCGGCAAGUCUGAUGUGAAAGCCCGGGGCUCAACCCCGGUACUGCAUUGGAAACUGUCGUACUAGAGUGUCGGAGGGGUAAGCGGAAUUCCUAGUGUAGCGGUGAAAUGCGUAGAUAUUAGGAGGAACACCAGUGGCGAAGGCGGCUUACUGGACGAUAACUGACGCUGAGGCUCGAAAGCGUGGGGAGCAAACAGG
rnacentral:rRNA from 1 species